rnacentral:rRNA from 1 species
AGUGAACGCUGGCGGUAGGCCUAACACAUGCAAGUCGAACGGCAGCACAGUAAGAGCUUGCUCUUACGGGUGGCGAGUGGCGGACGGGUGAGGAAUACAUCGGAAUCUACUUUUUCGUGGGGGAUAACGUAGGGAAACUUACGCUAAUACCGCAUACGACCUACGGGUGAAAGCAGGGGAUCUUCGUACCUUGCGCGAUUGAAUGAGCCGAUGUCGGAUUAGCUAGUUGGCGGGGUAAAGGCCCACCAAGGCGACGAUCCGUAGCUGGUCUGAGAGGAUGAUCAGCCACACUGGAACUGAGACACAGUCCAGACUCCUACGGGAGGCAGCAGUGGGGAAUAUUGGACAAUGGGCGCAAGCCUGAUCCAGCCAUACCGCGUGGGUGAAGAAGGCCUUCGGGUUGUAAAGCCCUUUUGUUGGGAAAGAAAAGCAGCAGGUUAAUACCGCGCUGUUCUGACGGUACCGAAAGAAUAAGCACCGGCUAACUACGUG